GACGAACGCUGGCGGCGUGCUUAACACAUUCAAGUCUAACGGAAAUGCCCUGCUUUUGUGGGGUGCUCGAGUGGCGAACGGUUGAGUAACACGUGAGUAACCUGCCCUUGACUUUGGGAUAACUUCAGGAAACUAGGGCUAAUACCGGAUAGGAGCUCCUGCUGCAUGGUGGGGGUUGGAACGUUUCGGCGGUUGGGGAUGGACUCGCGGCUUAUCAGCUUGUUGGUGGGGUAGUGGCUUACCAAGGCUUUGACGGGUAGCCGGCCUGAGAGGGUGACCGGCCACAUUGGGACUGAGAUACGGCCCAGACUCCUACGGGAGGCAGCAGUGGGGAAUAUUGCACAAUGGGCGGAAGCCUGAUGCAGCAACGCCGCGUGCGGGAUGACGGCCUUCGGGUUGUAAACCGCUUUCGCCUGUGACGAAGCGUGAGUGACGGUAAUGGGUAAAGAAGCAACGGCUAACUACGUG
rnacentral:rRNA from 1 species